rnacentral:rRNA from 1 species
UACGGGGGGGGCAAGCGUUGUUCGGAAUUACUGGGCGUAAAGGGCUCGUAGGCGGCCAACUAAGUCAGACGUGAAAUCCCUCGGCUUAACCGGGGAACUGCCUCUGAUACUGGAUGGCUUGAGAUUGGGAGAGGGAUGCGGAAUUCCAGGUGUAGCGGUGAAAUGCGUAGAUAUCAGGAAGAACACCCGUGGCGAAGGCGGCUCUCUGGAACGCAACUGACGCUGAGACGCGAAAGCGUGGGGAGCAAACAGG